AUGAGAGCUCUCAUGUGGGAGAAAAUCUUCAGCUCUUCCUCCUCCAGCUGCACAGAGCAGCCCCAGGCAAGAGACAGAUUUUGUGUAGCAGCUACUCUGACCAUUUCCAGUGCUAAGAACAAUGACAGUCCCACUGUGUGCCUUGGAGGAGAUGCAGUGCUCCCAGGACACCUGGAGAAGAACAUGAGGAAUGGUGUUUCCUCCUCUGUGGAUCUGAAAAUGACUGUAGAACAAAGAGAAAAGUGGAGGUGUCAGGCUGCAGAAGGUGUUGGUUCCCCUUCUUGCAGCUUAUCUACAAGCAACAGUGAAAAGCUUCCAGCUACCCCAAAAGUCUCUAGACAUCUUCCUGGCAGGCAGGUUCAAUCCCUACCCAAAGCACUAGCUGGAGAAGAAACACACUGGGAGAGCACCUGUUAAUCAAGUGUAUUGCUAGUUACCCCCUUUUAAAAGUCAAGUCAUACAACUGAAAAGAUUUGUCUCUUGAGGGCAGAUUUGUGACCUUUUCAAACUCCUCCUAAAGAGGAAAUAAAUGAUAAAUGCUUUCAAAGCUACCUGAGUCU
rnacentral:lncRNA from 1 species